UUGAGAGUUUGAUUCUGGCUCAGAACGAACGCUGGCGGAAGGCUUAACACAUGCAAGUCGAACGAUCUCUUCGGAGAUAGUGGCAGACGGGUGAGUAACGCGUGGAAACGUGCCUUUCACUACGGAAUAGCUUUUGGAAACGAAAGGUAAUACCGUAUACGCCCUCCGG
rnacentral:rRNA from 1 species